rnacentral:rRNA from 1 species
AUUGAACGCUGGCGGCAUGCCUAACACAUGCAAGUCGAGCGGAUGAACGGAGUUCGCUCUUGGAUUCAGCGGCGGACGGGUGAGUAAUGCAUAGGAAUCUGCCUGGUAGUGGGGGAUAACGUCCCGAAACGGGCGCUAAUACCGCAUACGUCCUGAGGGAGAAAGUGGGGGAUCUUCAGACCUCACGCUAUCAGAUGAGCCUAGGUCGGAUUAGCUAGUUGGUGGGGUAAAGGCCUACCAAGGCGACGAUCCGUAACUGGUCUGAGAGGAUGAUCAGUCACACUGGAACUGAGACACGGUCCAGACUCCUACGGGAGGCAGCAGUGGGGAAUAUUGGACAAUGGGCGAAAGCCUGAUCCAGCCAUGCCGCGUGUGUGAAGAAGGUCUUCGGAUUGUAAAGCACUUUAAGUUGGGAGGAAGGGCAGUAAGUUAAUACCUUGCUGUUUUGACGGUACCAACAGAAUAAGCACCGGCUAACUACGUG